rnacentral:lncRNA from 1 species
CAUUAUGGCAUUUGAUGACAUCUUCAGGAGAGGAGAGAGUCCAACCUGAUGGGAACGCAUCAUUUCCUGGAGAUGGGCAAACGCCACAGGAACCAAGGGUGGGGGUCUGUCCUGCUGCCCAGGACCCCAAGCCAUCUCGAUUGGGAAAUAAAAUUAAGUUCUAUUGAAUAUUUAGAGAGCACCACUCGUUGAAUUGUAUUGUUAACAACAAGGGAGAUCCCCAGUGCAAGGAUUUUCAAAGGCUGCAUCAGAGUUGAAUUCAGGAGCUUGAAGCUUGCAAGUCUGUUCUCUGGGAGCCUGAGAUUUGAGUUGGAAGCCUGGCUGUUACAAGUCUGUUGGGCUAGUGACAGUCUCCAUGUUUCAACCUCAUCUGUAAAAUGUGGAAGAUAGAAUGACCUGCCUCUCAGGGUUGUUAUAAGAAUUAAAGGAGUUAGUGCAUAUAAAGUGCUUCACUCAAAAAAUACUUGCUUCAUUUCCGCAUCUGUAGAAUGAGGACAACAAAAAUGCCCACCUCGGAGGGUACGCUGUAAGAACUACAGGAAGUGUUUAAGGUGACGUGCAAGCAACUGAACAAGAGCCGGAGGUCCCUCUGAAACCUGAUGGGUCAGGUGCUGGGUCUUCAGGAGGAGAAACCGGACCCACCCCUUGCCCAGGCUGCCUCUUUUGUUCUUUCUCAAGAAUCCCGGGAUCGAUAAUUGAAGGAAGCCAUCUCCCAUCCAGCACGGGUUUUCGCCUUCUCACAGAUAAGAGAUUAUUUCCUGGGUCUAUUGAUUUUGAGAUUCUUGAGAACAGAGUGAGUGUCCCUGUGUGUGGGAGUGUGUAUGUAGGAGAGUACACUUCAAGUACACUUGAAACUACAGUCAUGCACAGUGGUCUGUUUUUCAUAUAUGCCUCACAAGCAUCAACUCCAGGUGAAAAUUUCAGUGCUCAAAACUGCUAAGAUCAAAGACUCCUUGUUACUUAAUAAUCACAGUAAAGCCCCUGCCCACGUGGUUAAUGGAAGCACGUCAUCCUACCAGCCUGUUAAAAAUGAUAUAGACGAAGUAUAGAA